UCCCAUGCCUAGCUGGAUGCAUCGGGGGCGGCAGCUACCCCUGCCCUCAUUGCUCAUUGAACAGAUCACGGCCAGGGCCUCCGUCGCCGUCCACCUCCACCGCCGCUCCACAUCCCCAUCCUCCUCCUCCGCCGCCGCCUCCCCGCCCAUCCUCGCCGCCGCACCACGGUGAGCGGUGGCAGGUUUGUCGGGCGACGGGUCACCUGGGAUGCCAACCGAUGGAUGCGGGUCAAGCCGACCCAGGCGGCGGCGCAUCUUCGGGAGAGGAGAGGGGAAGAGAAGGAGAGUCUUGAUCAUCUAAAAAAAAGGAGAGUCCUGGCGGCGGCUGAGGAGGUGCUCGCCGGCGAGCGGGGUCCGGUGGCCUCCUGGCACGUGGGGUUGGACGGGGGCGCUUCCCGUCGGCCGCGGCCGUCCUCACAAUACCACCUACUCGAAAGCAUCGCCGCUCCCCGCAGCCAGCCAAGGCGACGUCUCCUGCCCCUCCUACCCACGCGACGAUGUCGCUCCCCGCCUCCUACCCAUGUGACAUCGGCACGUCGCCUGCCCCAACAGGCCAACAUCACCCACCCCGUCGUCCUCCUCCUCCUUAGUGCCGCCCUCUCGCCCACCCACAACGCCUUGCCUUGCAGCGCCUCCUGGCACACGCACGGUCCACACUGGAGCACGCCGCCCCUCGCUGCCGGUGACAGCACCCCUCAUGUUCUUCCUUUUGGGUCUACUUUCUCUCUCACACAUAUACGUGUAUCUGCACUGAUUCCCUGUAGGAAGAGGACAAGUUGUUGGAUCUGAGCACCUGUAGGAGGAGCAUAAGCAUAAGGAGGAAUCGAUUAGACAAGAAUUAUUUUUUAAUUCGUAUUUCUAUGUCUGCAUGAUGACAUUAGUUAACUGGUAAUAGUAAGUCAGUGGCAUACAUCACUGAUGAAACAGUUUUUUUUCCCAUUUAGCAAGGAAUUUGUGAUAUGUUCCUCAUAAUCAAUGUUAUGCCAGAAACUUUUACACAACUCAAGCCUCUACCAGUAAUUGUAAAUUAGUCAUGACACCCAGUCUAGCACCUGUCGUGUUGUUUGAUUUGUCUCUCUAUAUAUAUGUUCCCAAGAGUGGUCAUACUUUUAUAUGACGAUUUCCAACAUAUGAUUGCACUGAAAGUUAAUUUGAUAUUUCAUUAAUUUAUCCAAUUUUGGUUGUAUAAAUAUAAUUUUUAAUUUGGCAUCCCAUUCCAUGCCAAGAAUCAAAUCACAAGCUCAAUUUGUUCCUUUGUAACGGGGUUCAGUAGCUUCCCUCUCCUGAAUUAGUCUUAUUGUAAUUUCAUGGUUAUGCAAUUAUCAAUCUUCUCUUAUUCAUUUCACGUGUCCAUAGUUAGCCAGGCAAUUGAAGGCGAAUCAUGUAUUUUAGCACAGGUUCGAUGUGGCGGUUGUUAAACUUAUUCCAACUGUGAAGAAUGGUAGUUGUUGCCGGAUGAAUUUCUGGUCUCGCACCUCCUUAUUUCUGGUCUUGCACCAUGGACAGCCUGAACAGCGCAGACGCGUGCUUCUCCUGAGGAGGGCCAUGCGACAUGCCGACAUCAGGCGAGACCCCGGCCAGGCCGGCAGACAUAGCCAAAUAUGCGGUACAAGGGAUUUGAGGCGGAUUGAGGAAGGAGCUGGAGCAGGUGGAGGAUUGAGGAAGGAGCUGGAGCAGAGACGGACUAGAGGAUGGAAGGGAACUUAAGUGCAUGUUUUUGGAUUGUAGAUGGACUAAGUUCCUGUUUAAAAAUGGUGACUGCGUUUAGAGCUGCCAUUGGUGCUUGGUCAGACAUGGUGUCUUUGUAACUACACUAAGUUCCCUGGUUCCUGCAUAAAAAUGUUAGCACGAUGACAUUUCUAAACAUGAUCUAGAAGCCCUCCAACCAGAUCAAGCUCGGUACAUUAUAAUAAAAAAAUGACAAGGUCCAUGGAGAUAAGGCCUAAUGUGCACCCAAGGUUCAGAGGUGAUCCAGGUUUCCAAGAAGGUUAGAAGGUUAGUUGCUUGUGCAAUUCAGUUCAAAGGUAGCUUGUUGCUGGAAGGAGUGGAACUCAAGAAAACAUAAUAGGUUGGAGAUUAUCGGCUUCCUGUCAGAAAUUGAGUUGAGCCAAGCUUUUUGUUCUUUUACUCUGUCUUUUCUUCUCAGAGAGGUUAAUUUUCUAUGCACACCUGUGUACAAACCUGCCCCUGCAGGUUAGUGAUCGGAGGCUAUGUCGUAAAUUGUAAUGCUACUCCUUCAGAAUAGAGUUAGCUCCUUCGAUUGCCAAAAGAGGCCUGGUGUUAUGAUUUUACUUCAGAAUAUUGGUUUUAUGUCAUUAAU